GAACGGGUGAGUAACACGUGGGUGAUCUGCCCUGCACUUCGGGAUAAGCUUGGGAAACUGGGUCUAAUACCGGAUAGGACCGCACUUUAGUGUGUGUGGUGGAAAGUUUUUUCGGUGUAGGAUGAGCUCGCGGCCUAUCAGCUUGUUGGUGGGGUAAUGGCCUACCAAGGCGGCGACGGGUAGCCGGCCUGAGAGGGUGUACGGCCACAUUGGGACUGAGAUACGGCCCAG
rnacentral:rRNA from 1 species